rnacentral:misc_RNA from 1 species
GCUUGCCUGGUCAACAACUGAUAGGGGCUUGAGAGAUGCUUUUGAGAAGUUCGGACGUCUAACUGAGGCCAAGGUAGUUGUGGAUCGGUAUUCUGGUCGUUCUCGUGGAUUUGGCUUUAUCACUUUUGAUGAUAGGGAGGCUAUGGAAGACGCGAUCGAAGCAAUGAAUGGUAUUGAUUUGGAUGGUCGAGCUAUCACUGUGGAUAAAGCCCAGCCAGGGGGUGGAAGGGA